CUCCCGCUAGCUCAACAGGAUAGAGCAAUGGCCUUCUAAGCCAUAGGUUUCAGGUUCGACCCCUGAGCGGGAGGCCA
rnacentral:tRNA from 3 species